rnacentral:rRNA from 1 species
AUUGAACGCUGGCGGCAGGCCUAACACAUGCAAGUCGGGCGGUAACAGGGAGAAGCUUGCUUCUCUGCUGACGAGCGGCGGACGGGUGAGUAAUGUAUGGGGAUCUGCCUGAUGGGCGGGGAUAACUACUGGAAACGGUAGCUAAUACCGCAUAAUGUCUACGGACCAAAGCGGGGGACCUCCGGGCCUCGCGCCAUCAGAUGAACCCAUAUGGGAUUAGCUAGUAGGUAAGGUAACGGCUUACCUAGGCGACGAUCCCUAGCUGGGGUCUGAGAGGAUGAUCAGCCANACUGGGGACUGAGACACGGGCCCAGGACUCCUACGGGGAGCAGGCAGUGGGGGGAAUAUUGCACAAAUGGGGC